rnacentral:rRNA from 1 species
GACAGAGGUGCCGAGCGUUAGGCGGAAUCACUGGGCUUAAAGCGUGUGUAGGCGGAUUUGUAAGUACCUUGUGAAAUCCCACGGCUUAACCGUGGAACUGCUUGGUAUACUGCUUAUCUUGGGCCAUCUAGGGGCUAGCGGAACAAACGGUGGAGCGGUGAAAUGCGUAGAUAUCGUUUGGAACGCCAAUGGUGAAAACAGCUAGCUGGGGAUGUGCCGACGCUGAGACACGAAAGCCAGGGGAGCGAACGGG